GCGUUCGUGAUGUAAUGGUAGCAUAAAAGCCUUCCAAGCUUUUUGUCGGGGUUCAAAUCCCCGCGGGCGCAC
rnacentral:tRNA from 1 species